rnacentral:rRNA from 1 species
CAGCAGCCGCGGUAAAACCGAGGAUGCAAGCGUUAUCCGGAAUGAUUGGGCGUAAAGCGUCUGUAGGUGGCUUUUCAAGUCCGCCGUCAAAUCCCAGGGCUCAACCCUGGACAGGCGGUGGAAACUACUAAGCUGGAGUACGGUAGGGGCAGAGGGAAUUUCCGGUGGAGCGGUGAAAUGCGUUGAGAUCGGAAGGGACGCCCGUGGCGAAAGCGGGGUCCUGGACCCUUUCUGACGCUGAGACGCGAAAGCCAGGGGAGCGAACGGGAUUAGAUACCCCUGUAGUCCCUGUCUCUUAUAC